UACAGAGGUCUCAAGCGUUGUUCGGAUUCAUUGGGCGUAAAGGGUGCGUAGGUGGCGCCGUAAGUCAGGUGUGAAAUUUCGGAGCUUAACUUCGAAACUGCAUUUGAUACUGCGGUGCUUGAGGACUGGAGAGGAGACUGGAAUUUACGGUGUAGCAGUGAAAUGCGUAGAUAUCGUAAGGAAGACCAGUGGCGAAGGCGGGUCUCUGGACAGUUCCUGACACUGAGGCACGAAGGCCAGGGGAGCAAACGGG
rnacentral:rRNA from 1 species